GUAAUAAUCCUGUAGUCGAAAAUGUUGUCUCUCUUGAGUGGAUCCUGAGUACGACGGAGCACGUGAAAUUCCGUCGGAAUCUGGGAGGACCAUCUCCUAAGGCUAAAUACUCUCUAGUGACCGAUAGUGAACCAGUACCGUGAGGGAAAGGUGAAAAGCACCCCGGAAGGGGAGUGAAAUAGAACCUGAAACCGUGUGCUUACAAGUAGUCAGAGCCCGUUAAUGGGUGAUGGCGUGCCUUUUGUAGAAUGAACCGGCGAGUUACGAUUUGAUGCAAGGUUAAGCAGUAAAUGUGGAGCCGUAGCGAAAGCGAGUCUGAAUAGGGCGUUUAGUAUUUGGUCGUAGAC
rnacentral:rRNA from 1 species